AGUGAACGCUGGCGGUAGGCCUAACACAUGCAAGUCGAACGGCAGCACAGUAAGAGCUUGCUCUUACGGGUGGCGAGUGGCGGACGGGUGAGGAAUACAUCGGAAUCUACUUUUUCGUGGGGGAUAACGUAGGGAAACUUACGCUAAUACCGCAUACGACCUACGGGUGAAAGCAGGGGAUCUUCGGACCUUGCGCGAUCGAAUGAGCCGAUGUCGGAUUAGCGAGUUGGCGGGGUAAAGGCCCACCAAGGCGACGAUCCGUAGCUGGUCGGAGAGGAUGAUCAGCCACACUGGAACUGAGACACGGUCCAGACUCCUACGGGAGGCAGCAGUGGGGAAUAUUGGACAAUGGGCGCAAGCCUGAUCCAGCCAUACCGCGUGGGUGAAGAAGGCCUUCGGGUUGGAAAGCCCUUGUGUUGGGAAAGAAAAGCAGCAGGUUAAUACCCCGCUGUUCUGACGGUACCCAAAGAAUAAGCACCGGCUAACUUCGUG
rnacentral:rRNA from 1 species